GAUGAACGCUGGCGGCGUGCCUAAUACAUGCAAGUCGAGCGAACGGACGAGAAGCUUGCUUCUCUGAUGUUAGCGGCGGACGGGUGAGUAACACGUGGAUAACCUACCUAUAAGACUGGGAUAACUUCGGGAAACCGGCGCUAAUCCCGUAGAAUAUUUUGAACCGCAUGGUUCAAAAGUGAAAGACGGUCUUGCUGUCACUUAUAGAUGGAUCCGCGCUGCAUUAGCUAGUUGGUAAGGUAACGGCUUAUCAAGGCAACGAUGCCUAGCCGACCUGAGAGGGUGAUCGGCCACACUGGAACUGAGACACGGUCCAGACUCCUACGGUAGGCAGCAGUAGGGAAUCUUCCGCAAUGGGCGAAAGCCUGACGGAGCAACGCCGCGUGAGUGAUGAAGGUCUUCGGAUCGUAAAACUCUGUUAUUAGGGAAGAACAGAUGUGUAAGUAACUGUGCACAUCUUGACGGUACCUAAUCAGAAAGCCACGGCUAACUACGUG
rnacentral:rRNA from 1 species